rnacentral:rRNA from 1 species
UGCGUAGGCGGCGCGGUAAGUCGGGUGUGAAAUCUCGGAGCUUAACUCCGAAACUGCAUUCGAUACUGCCGUGCUUGAGGACUGGAGAGGAGGCUGGAAUUUACGGUGUAGCGGUGAAAUGCGUAGAUAUCGUAAGGAAGACCAGUGGCGAAGGCGGGUCUCUGGACAGUUCCUGACGCUGAGGCACGAAGGCCAGGGAGCAAACG